CCAGUUCGUAACAUCCUCAAGCAGCCUUCGGGCAACGAUCAUUGUGGUUUCUAUGUAAUGCAUUACAUGCAAAAUCCAUAGACCUUUUUGGAGAGACUUCACUGUAGAUGAGGCUAAAUAUAUCCAACAAGCAGCCUUCAGACAAUGAUCAUUGCGGGUUCUAUGUAAUUCAUUACAUGCACUACAGCUACUCCGGUGAUUGCAGAAGCCCCGAAAUGAACACUGAGUUGAGUACAGAUGAAUUGCUCAUGGGCGAGCUAGUAGCACUUCAAGAGCAACUAGCCGGAUGGCUUGUGGACUACGUUGUGGAGCCAGGAUCUGAGUACAGCAUAAUCUAGGUGUAAUGCAUAGAUCGUAUCAUUCUUGUUAAACAUUGUAAUAUAUUUGGGGUAUGAACUAGAUGUUCUUAAUCUUGAUGUAUGGACUCUAUAUUCUUAAUCUUGAUGUAUGAACUCUUUCAUUUAAUUUCAAUGUAUAAUAUCUUAUGGUUGAA